CCUGAGGCUGAGUGUGUCUGUGUUUGCUGGCUGAAUUUUACUUGUGGAAGAGUCUGAGUGUUGUUUGUGUGUAGUGUCUGGCUGUUCUGCCAUUGUCCUGCUCAUGUUUCCCUGGUGGUGGCACACUGAGAGCACAAUCCUUGGUGGUCCAGUGGAAAAACAUUAUUACUUUAAAAGCUCCCUUGCGGUCUCAGUGCUUAGUUAAUGUCUUAUAGUGCUGACUGCGGCAGUGUACACACAGACACUCUGGGUAUCUAUUUCCCAUGAUGCUGCAUGUUCACAUAGAAUUGUAAG